CCUACGGGGGGCAGCAGUGAGGAAUAUUGGUCAAUGGGCGCGAGCCUGAACCAGCCAAGUAGCGUGAAGGAUGACUGCCCUACGGGUUGUAAACUUCUUUUAUAAAGGAAUAAAGUGAGGCACGUGUGCCUUUUUGUAUGUACUUUAUGAAUAAGGAUCGGCUAACACCGUGCCAGCAGCCGCGGUAAUUCGGAGGAUCCGAGCGUUAUCCGGAUUUAUUGGGUUUAAAGGGAGCGUAGAUGGGUUGUUAAGUCAUUUGUGAAAGUUUGCGGCUCAACCGUAAAAUUGCAAGUGAUACUGGCAGUCGUGAGUACAGUGGAGGUAGGCGGAAUUCGUGGUGUAGCGGUGAAAGGCUGAGAUAUCACGAAGAACUCCGAUUGCGAAGGCAGCUUACUAAACUGCCACUGACAUUGAUGCUCGAAAGUGUGGGUAGCAAACAGGAUUAGAUACCCCAGUAGUC
rnacentral:rRNA from 1 species